rnacentral:rRNA from 1 species
GACGAACGCUGGCGGCGUGCUUAACACAUGCAAGUCGAACGGAAAGGCCCUGCUUUUGUGGGGUGCUCGAUUGGCGAACGGGUGAGUAACACGUGAGUAACCUGCCCUUGACUUUGGGAUAACUUCAGGAAACUGGGGCUAAUACCGGAUAGGAGCUCCUGCUGCAUGUUGUGGGUUGGAAAGUUUCGGCGGUUGGGGCUGGACUCGCGGCUUAUCAGCUUGUUGGUGGGGUAGUGGCUUACCAAGGCUUUGACGGGUAGCCGGCCUGAGAGGGUGAACGGCCACAUUGGGACUGAGAUACGGCCCAGACUCGUAUGGGAGGCAGCAGUGGGGAAUAUUGCGGAAUGGGCGGAAGCCUGAUGCAGAAACGCCGCGUGCGGGAUGCCGGCCUUCGGGUGGUAAACAGCUUUCGCCGGUGACGAAGCGUGAGUGACGGUAAUGGGUAAAGAAGCACCGGCUAACUACGUG